UGACGUUCCUGCAUUACUGAGGGGACCAAUUCCACAAAGAAGCUCAACAUGUUGAAGACACGGGACAAAAAAUCAACCAUGGAUAAGAAGAAGUCACAUGGAUGACAGGACAGACAAGGGGGAAGGAGGAGACAAGAACAAUGACACCAGAGAGACAGUACAGUCAGUGCAGAACAGAUGCUGUCGUCUGCAGAGGAAGGAAGCAAAGUAUUUUGAAGGCACGAAAGUCUACAGAUUGUACCUCCCACUCUCCGUCUGUCUGUCCACGUGU